rnacentral:rRNA from 1 species
CUGCUAUCGGGAUAGGACUAAGACAUGUUAGUCGAGCGUUUCCCAGCCAUGAAGGAGACGCGGCAGACGGCUCAGUAACAUGUGGCUAACCUGCCCUAAGGACAGAGACAACCCCGGGAAACUGGGGCUAAUCCCUGAUAGGUGUGGACUUCUGGAAUGGAUCCACGCCCAAAAGACGUCUGGAUCAUGCUUUGGACGUCGCCUAAGGAUGGGGCCGCAGCCGAUCAGGUUGUUGGCGAGGUAACGGCUCACCAAUCCUAUAACCGGUACGGGCCGCGAGAGCGGUAGCCCGGAGAUGGACACUGAGACAAGGGUCCAGGCCCUACGGGGCGCAGCAGUCGCGAAAACUCCACAAUGCGCGAAAGCGCGAUGGGGCUAUCCCGAGUGCCGUCCGCUGAGGAUGGCUUUUCUCCAGUGUAAGGAGCUGGAGGAAUAAGGAGAGGGCAAGUCUGGUGUCAGCCGCCGCGGUAAUACCAGCUCUCCGAGUGGUAGGGACGUUUAUUGGGCUUAAAGCGUCCGUAGCCGGCUCAGCAAGUCCUCCGUUAAAUCCAGCGAUUCAAUCGUUGGACUGCGGGGGAUACUGUUGGGCUAGGGGACGGGAGAGGCCGACGGUAUUCUCGGAGUAGGGGUGAAAUCCUAUAAUUCCGGGAGGACCACCAGUGGCGAAGGCUGUCGGCUAGAACGAGCUCAACGGUGAGGGACGAAAGCUGGGGGAGCGAACCGGAUUAGAUACCCGGGUAGUCCCAGCUGUAAACGAUGCGGGCUAGGUGUUAGGGUGGCUACGAGCCACUCUAGUGCCGCAGCGAAGGCAUUAAGCCCGCCGCCUGGGGAGUACGGCCGCAAGGCUGAAACUUAAAGGAAUUGGCGGGAGAGCACCACAAGGCGUGAAGCGUGCGGUUUAAUU